GUAAUAUAUUGAUCCGAUAGCGGGAUAGGAUCCGAGGCCCUAUGCGAAGGGUUUCACAGGCUCUACUACUCAACUCCGAUUUCAUCACGACCUCGUUGUGCAGAAUGGUAACCUGAUCCACCGUAUAUCCCAGCUUGGGUGAACGGACUAGUUCCAACCCCUUGGGAUCAUGGGUGAGCAGGAGGAGUGUGGGCAGG
rnacentral:ribozyme from 1 species